rnacentral:tRNA from 1 species
GGGCAGUUAGCUCAGUUGGUAGAGCACCUGCCUUACAAGCAGGACGUCAUAGGUUCAAGUCCUAUACUGCCCA